rnacentral:tRNA from 2 species
GCGAGUGUGGUGGAAUGGUAGACACGCUAUCUUGAGGGGGUAGUGGUUUAGAGCCGUACGGGUUCAAGUCCCGUCACUCGCACCA